CAGAGGUGCUGGCAUGACCUAGCAGUGGCCGGGUCUCUCGGCGGGCCUGCGUGCUGAACUCUGGCCUCCACCUGCCUGUCCCACUCAUUCUUUUCCAGGUCUGUCCCUGGAGGCAUCUGAGAUUUCAACUCCUGCCCAUAUAAGAACCAGCCCCAAGAAAACAGCAAUCCAUAUAAGGCCAGCAGGUUGCAGAAACCCUGGGUUAUGUAACACGUGGCCUGGGUCUAAGCCUCUGUUGGCGCCCCGGGGCCCUUCUGAAGCGAGCAGUGCGGAGUCUGCCAGAGAGAGACAGGCAGGAAGCAACACGGAUUAGCCACUUUCACUCAGGACAGUUUGCCAGGAAGGAGCCCUCCAGAGGCCUUGGAGACCCCCAAAGAGCAAAGCAAAGAGACCAAAAGCAAACACCCAAGGAGGGAUCAUUGGCCCUCUUUCCACCGAAAAGGGUCCAAAGUGUCCACAGCGUCACAGAGGGCCUCUGCAGCUGCAGCCAUGGGUUGGGGUCUGCUUUGGGGAGCUUGCCAUCAGAAGCUUCCUAACCCACAACGCCAUUCACAGCAGCCAUGCUAAGUCACAUUUUGUCCAGUGAGUUUCUGCAUCCUUGCUAAGCCUGCCUUAGUAUCAGGCCACACAACAUACACUCAAACCAAUUGCUGACCAUCUCAUGGAUGGAGGAACCCAGCAUAGUUGCUUGAGCCUCGUGUGCAAAGAGCAGUACUCCCUUGCCCCAUCCCCGGGACCUGGCCCCGGAUGCUAAGGGCAUAUUGCGUCCACCUCUUAUGGAUUUGUUUGUUGAAACCUGCAGGAUCCUGUGUGUUAACUCCCAAGGAAUGAAAGAGCUGGAAGGACCCAAGAAUUGCUCAGCUCUUACUCCAACAGAUUAAUGGCUUCCCUAACACGAUCCAACAAGUCUGGGGAGCUGCUUCUUCACCAACCUGAUGUUCGUCCUGGCCUUUUGUUCUUCCUGUCAUUUUUCAAGUUUGUCAAAGAUUUCAGGCAGUGCCUGACUCUUGGUUCAGAGAGAAGGGAACCUGCCAAAUGCAGGCUUGUGGGCCAUUUCAACAGUACCUCCCCUGAGCAAAGAACACCAGGAGCUCCGGAUGUUGCUCUGUGGUCCAGAGAUUCAUUAGUCCUUCAUUUACUCAAGUGAAAAUGACAAAGAAGAGCUAGUUUGGCUUUGCAUUUUGCUUUGUCCUUCUCAGUCCUUUGCAUUUGCACUUACAUUUUAGGAUCAGCUUGUCAUUUUGUGAGUAUGUACAUGCACGGUACACAGAAAGCCCUCAGGAUUUUAAUGAAGUGGUAUUGAAUCUAUGGGUCAUUUUGGGAAGAUUGAAGCCUUUCUAGUAGUGAGUCUUCAGUGUAGAGGAUUUGCUCUGUCUAUUCCUAGGUAUCUGUUGGUUUUUGAUGCUCUUACAAACAGUAACUUCUAAAGAUUUUUAUUAUAGAUGUAUCUGUUGCCAGUAUAUAUAAAAUAACAACCAGUUUUUGUAUGUUGAUCUUAUAUCCAGCAACCUAGCUAAGCUUACCUUUUAAUUUGAAUAGAUUAUUUGUAAAUUCCUUUGGAAUUGUUUACACUAUGUGUGAAUAAUGACAAUUUAGAUUCCCCUUUCUCAAACCUUAUGCUUUUAUUUCUUUUCUCCUUUUUUGCACCAGUUAGCCUACCUUUGCCAUGUUAAAUAUAUGUGGUGAGAGAGGAUGCUAUGGCUUUACCUAUUUCUUACUUCCAUUCCCCAUCAAAAAGCCUCUGAAGGAUUUUAGGGAGACGGCAGUGGCAACACAGUUUUUGGAUAUUUCAAAGUGCCACAUAAAAUAGUACAACUAAAAAGUCCCACCUAGAUAGUGCAGCUAAAAAGAGGAGUAAAAAUUCCAGGGACUCUCAUGAGUGUACAGUGGACUUUUCCAGAGGCCAGAGACAUGCUAUCACCCAAAAGAUUAAAUGCAGAUAGCAUAUAUAAGAAUUCUAUCAGUUGUCUACAAAGCCAGACAUUAAGACAUUUGCAGAAACAUAAAAUCAUACUCACCUUUUCAUCUAAAUGCUGUUACUUUUUAUUAAAAAGAUAUAUCUUCAUUAAAAAUAUGUGGUUUGUGUUAACAAUGUAAUUGGGUUAUUAUUGCUAUUUUAAAUGAAUUGAUAAAUAAAUGCCUAUUUUAUUUUUU